AUAGCGGAGGAAAAGAAACCAACCGGGAUUGCCUUAGUAACGGCGAGUGAAGCGGCAAAAGCUCAAAUUUGAAAUCUGGUACCUUCGGUGCCCGAGUUGUAAUUUGGAGAGGGCAACUUUGGGGCCGUUCCUUGUCUAUGUUCCUUGGAACAGGACGUCAUAGAGGGUGAGAAUCCCGUGUGGCGAGGAGUGCGGUUCUUUGUAAAGUGCCUUCGAAGAGUCGAGUUGUUUGGGAAUGCAGCUCUAAGUGGGUGGUAAAUUCCAUCUAAAGCUAAAUAUUGGCGAGAGACCGAUAGCGAACAAGUACAGUGAUGGAAAGAUGAAAAGAACUUUGAAAAGAGAGUGAAAAAGUACGUGAAAUUGUUGAAAGGGAAGGGCAUUUGAUCAGACAUGGUGUUUUGUGCCCUCUGCUCCUUGUGGGUAGGGGAAUCUCGCAUUUCACUGGGCCAGCAUCAGUUUUGGUGGCAGGAUAAAUCCAUAGGAAUGUAGCUUGCCUCGGUAAGUAUUAUAGCCUGUGGGAAUACUGCCAGCUGGGACUGAGGACUGCGACGU
rnacentral:rRNA from 1 species